rnacentral:lncRNA from 1 species
UCGAACCUUUUCAGAGAUUGAAGAUGGACAUCUGGAAGAGAUGGACAUGUGGAAGAAGAAUGGAGAGGAGACACUCUUCUCUCUUCUUUUUCUCUCUUCCCAAAUCCUUAGGAAUAAAAUCCUAGAAAACUAGGUUUUGCGCACACCCAAAGAGAGAGGACUCUCCUCUCUUUUUCUCAUGCCAUGAACCAUGCCCAAACCCCUU